GCCUCGGUAGCUCAGUUGGAUAGAGCAACGGUUUUCUAAACCGUGGGUCAGGGGUUCGAAUCCCUUCCGGGGUACAA
rnacentral:tRNA from 2 species